rnacentral:lncRNA from 1 species
GUUAAAGAGAAACAGCACAGAAUAAGUUUAGUGCUUAUCCCUAAAAUUUUAAACCUUAUUAAAAAUUCAAAUGUGCAGAAACCUGAUCACAUUUCAAAUGCACAUAGCAUUCAAUUAUUCAAAAUUUACUGACGAAAGUAAAGUUAGUGGCUAAGAAGAAAAAUUAAGAAUCCCACUGCGCAGUGCAAAAUACAACUAGAAUUAGAGGGAUGUAUAUAAUAUUUUUAAGUCAUAGAAACAAAGCAUAUUGCUUGCCAUAACUUAUUUUUAACAUUUUUAGGAAACAACCUUUCCAAUAUAAUUAGUUAUAUCUGGCUUGUCUGAAGGUAGUUAUCUCAAUUGACUGUUCAGUCAGUUACAGAUGGAACUCCUUGUUCUACUCUUUCCCGCCUUACUACUGCACUUGACUAGUCUAAAAAAUAAAAAUUAAAUUUUUAAAAUUAAUAAAAAAGUUAUGUGACCAUUAUUUCUAAUUCUGACACAAAUGAAGCACAAUUAAUUCACUAUUCAAAAAUUUGGGCCAAGUGUGGGGCUCACACUUCUAAUCUCAGCACUUUGAGAAGCCGAGGAUUACAGGCGUGAGCCACCGCGCCCGGCCUAUGUUUGCAUUUUUUAAAAAGAAAACAAAAAACUUUUGCUUUAGUUCAACAACUUUUCUCCCCAAAAUAAAUUUUUUUUUCACAUUUUUUUUCAAAUUUCUACUGACACUGUUCAGAAGUAUCAUAUAUAGCACAAUUUUGGCCUUUAAUCAGCAUGCUACUUUUGGAUUUUGUCUCAAAGGAAAGCUGAGGAAAGCUUGAUUUAUUUCUUACAAAUAUAUGAAAGAUAACCGUGGAGUUCUGUUCAAACUGAACCACCACUCUACUCUAAAACAUAGUUUAGUAUUGUUUUUAAUAAAAAUUUAACAGAAAAUUCUUUUACAUGGGCAGAAGUAGGGGGCAAGCUGAGAUGACCAUAAAUCUACAUACUGACACCUCAGUUAUCCCACAGUUGACAGAAUGAAGAAUCCUAUGCUAAAUAAAUGUCCUGAUGAUUGAAUUAUACAUAUUAAACACUAAAAUAUUUUACUUUAGCCAGUUUUGAUGAAGCUACAUCUAAGAUGGAUUAUACUUCUCCAUGUCAUCUUAGAAUGUACUACUCUGAAUCUACUAUUGGUAACCUAGGUCUUUGUCAUGUAACUAAGCCUUCACUGGCUAAAUAAAAUCCCUACACAAAAUGUUAGUAACUGAUUUCUUUUUUUUUUUUUUUUUUGAAAGUUUAUGUUUCUUCCCUUUCUCCUCUCUUAUUAUCAGGCUGUCAGGUAGUUCACACUCUUCUAGCUAACUAUAUUGUUUAUCUGCUUCAUGGUUUCUAAUUUUCUCUGGGUUAGAAUGAUUUAUGAUAUGCUAGAAUUGUUUAUUCUAAGGAUAAAGAAGCUUUGAUGAAAAACUAACGAACUGUCUAUGCUAGAAUAAAACACGUGAAAUCUAGUACUCAAAUUUAUAUAAUCUAUAUUGUGUUUGGGGUAGUUGAGUUGUCAUUUUAAGCAAAUAUAUAUACAAAAUCAGCACUAAGCUUGGAAAAAAACAGUAGGUAGGCAGAUUUACUGACCAACCACUAAGAGGAGACAUCAACAAAACAUAGUGGACAUAAAAACAAAGAGAUACCAAAGAGCUGACACUACGAUAGCUGAAAUGUACACCCUUUUCUAACAAGCACAAUUUUAUCUAAGGAAACACUGCCCACAAUUCAAAUAGUUUCUGAGAGACAGGAUAUCAUGGGCCCUCUCAAGGUGACAGAAGAAAAUGGAAAGUUAAAAAAAAAAAAA